AUUGAACGCUGGCGGCAGGCCUAACACAUGCAAGUCGAACGAGUCGCGGACGGGAGAGUAAUGCUUGGGAAUCUAGGUGGUGGAGGGCGAUAACUACGGGAAACUGUUGCUAAUACCGCGUUGCUUAGGAUAGGCCCAUGUGGGAUUAGGUAGUUGGUGGGGUAAAGGCUCACGAAGCCGACGAUCUCUAGCUGGUCUGAGAGGAUGACCAGCCACACUGGGACUGAGACACGGCCCAGACUCCGACGGGAGGCAGCAGUGGGGAAUAUUGCGCAAUGGGGGCAACCUGACGCAGCCAUGCCGCGUGAAUGAAGAAGGCCUUCGGGUUGUAAAGUUCUUUCGGUAGGGAGGCGUUACCUACAGAAGAAGCACCGGCUAACUCCGUGCCAGCAGCCGCGGUAAUUC
rnacentral:rRNA from 1 species